rnacentral:rRNA from 1 species
GAUGAACGCUGGCGGCGUGCCUAACACAUGCAAGUCGAGCGAUUUACUUCGGUAAAGAGCGGCGGACGGGUGAGUAACGCGUGGGUAACCUGCCCUGUACACACGGAUAACAUACCGAAAGGUAUGCUAAUACGAGAUAAUAUACUUUUAUCGCAUGGUAGAAGUAUCAAAGCUUUUGCGGUACAGGAUGGACCCGCGUCUGAUUAGCUAGUUGGUAAGGUAACGGCUUACCAAGGCGACGAUCAGUAGCCGACCUGAGAGGGUGAUCGGCCACAUUGGAACUGAGACACGGUCCAAACUCCUACGGGAGGCAGCAGUGGGGAAUAUUGCACAAUGGGCGAAAGCCUGAUGCAGCAACGCCGCGUGAGCGAUGAAGGCCUUCGGUCGUAAGACUCUGUCCUCAAGGAAGAUAAUGACGGUACUUGAGGAGGAAGCCCGGCUAACUACGUGCCAGCAGCCGCGGUAAU